UAUUUACAUCUUGUGUUGUGGUAUCUUGAAAAUUGUUGUGAUUAAAUCCUAUUUCCAUGUAUAAUGUUUUAAAAAAGAAAUUUUCUAGCCAUAAUUUUUAUCGUAUUUUUUAGUCAGAAUCAUUCCACUCGGUAUUAAAAUAAAAAAAAAAAUGGCGAGUUUUGAUAAAAUUUUUGAUCAAUGGCUAAUCCUCAUGAAACGAUUGUCGUAUCGAGGAAAAAUGCGAUAGAGAUCGAUAGGUUUUGAGAUAUCGUGAAACUCGAUAAUAUCGAUUUGAAGAACGCAUUCGUUCCUGUCACGUCAUCGUGUCGUUUUGUCGUUUUGUCAAUCGUGAUGAAACCGUAGACAUUCGUGGAUUUUAGACAAAUUCUUCGUGACCGACGAUUCCACGUUAAACGCGUUAAGUUGAUUGUCUUAAUAAAUUUACUUCAAAUAGUUUUCAUGAUCUAUAACUUAAUCUUUGUAAUACGUUUGUACGAAUGAAUGACUGUGCAAUAUUGAAGCAGUGAUAUAUUGAAUAUUCAAAUUUUAAAUAGUGAACCACUGUAUCUCUUGUCAGAUGAAAAAUGUGAGAUGAAAAAUUAUUAAUUAUACCCUCCGUUAUGCUUGAACUGCAGAAGCCGGGACAGUCGGCCACGACGAGCGAGGCUCCGGGGAUUGCCGCCCGCUACGACUCUGCCAACACAACAACAACAAAGGCCGCUUCACGAGUCUAAUUCCUAGGCAUCUAUCUGGUUCGCUAAGGGACAUGUUAUGCUUAAGAGAAAAUGGAAUCCUGCUCGCGCGUAAUCUUCAAUUAUUCUCCUCUCCUCUUUCUUAACGAUCCCAAUUUUUCUAUCUUCUUCCCUCCCCAUUUUUCUUUUUAUUUUGGACAAAUAAUUUUUUUCUCUUCUCUUUUGAAUUGAAAUUUAUCGUAGUACGAUUUUCUUCGAUCUGUGAACGAUGAUACGAACGAAGAGGUUAGGUUAAUCGAAGAGAAACGAAUCGAAAAUAUUAUCGACAUAUUAUCGAGCACGUUAACGCGCGAGAUUUGAAAUAUUUUUGAUUUAUUUGACUAAUAU